rnacentral:rRNA from 1 species
GACGGACGCUGGCGGCGUGCCUAAUACAUGCAAGUUGAGCGCUGAAGGUUGGUACUUGUACCAACUGGAUGAGCAGCGAACGGGUGAGUAACGCGUGGGGAAUCUGCCUUUGAGCGGGGGACAACAUUUGGAAACGAAUGCUAAUACCGCAUAAAAACUUUAAACACAAGUUUUAAGUUUGAAAGAUGCAAUUGCAUCACUCAAAGAUGAUCCCGCGUUGUAUUAGCUAGUUGGUGAGGUAAAGGCUCACCAAGGCGAUGAUACAUAGCCGACCUGAGAGGGUGAUCGGCCACAUUGGGACUGAGACACGGCCCAAACUCCUACGGGAGGCAGCAGUAGGGAAUCUUCGGCAAUGGACGAAAGUCUGACCGAGCAACGCCGCGUGAGUGAAGAAGGUUGUCGGAUCGUAAAACUCUGUUGGUAGAGAAGAACGUUGGUGAGAGUGGAAAGCUCAUCAAGUGACGGUAACUACACAGAAAGGGACGGCUAACUACGUG